rnacentral:rRNA from 1 species
UAGGGAAUCUUCCACAAUGGAUGAAAGUCUGAUGGAGCAACGCCGCGUGAGUGAAGAAGGGUUUCGGCUACGUAAAACUCUGUUAGUUAAAGAAGAACAUAUCCGAGAGUAACUGUUCAGGUAUUGACGGUAUUUAACCAGAAAGCCACGGCUAACUACGUGCCAG